UGCAGUGUGGCGUAGUGGUUUGAGUGAUGGACUGUGACUCUGGGAGACCAGGAUUCAAAUCCCUGCUCAGCCA